rnacentral:rRNA from 1 species
CCUACGGGUGGCAGCAGUCGGGAAUAUUGCGCAAUGGAGGAAACUCUGACGCAGUGACGCCGCGUAUAGGAAGAAGGUUUUCGGAUUGUAAACUAUUGUCGUUAGGGAAGAUAAAAGACUGUACCUAAGGAGGAAGCCUCGGCUAACCAUGUGCCAGCAGCCGCGGUAAUAUACAGGGGGCAAGCGUCAUCCGGAAUUAUUGGGUGUAAAGGGUGCGUAGGCGGGAGAACAAGUUGGUUGUGAAAUCCCUGGGCUCAACUGAGGAACUGCAACCAAAACUAUUCUCCUUGAGUGUCGGAGAGGAAAGUGGAAUUCCAGGUGUAGCGGUGAAAUGCGUAGAUAUUAGGAGGAACACCAGUGGCGAAGGCGACUUUCUGGACGAUAACUGACGUUGAGGCGCGAAAGUGUGGGGAGCAAACAGGAUUAGAUACCCGGGUAGUC